rnacentral:rRNA from 1 species
AUGAGUAUGGAUCCGGCAACUUCCGACAAAGCACCAAAUCAAUCUCCCGAUACCCUUGCAGAGUUUUCAUUGCAAACCAAAGAUGCCAAUAAUAGACAACCAGAAAUCAAUCUCCCUCCAGUCGUCCAGGAUAGCUACAGUACACCCAAUAAAAGAGCUAGCAGCGGGCCUUUUUGUGGUUUAUCGUGUACACCGGAAUGUGAUGAAAAUCUAAAGCCGGCUGUAGGUAUGACAUUCGAGAACAUGGAAGCCGUCGAGGAGUUCUACAAGGCUUAUGCACACAACGUUGGCUUUUCAGUUCGA